UACUCGUAUUCUUUUUGUCAACAGACCUUCACUAAAUACCGAUAUUUGAAGUAAGUCCCAUGACUUCCUCGUGUGCCGGAAAAGAGGUUCCCUGGGUGGAGUGGGCAUGCCUCAUAAACAGGAACACUUGCCACGGAUGUCCGCCCCUUCCUCUUGUAUAGAGCCACACUGGUGACGCCCGACGGCGGGAGGGAAGAAGUGGAGGUGUACUUGUCUCCCAGUCCGCGCCAUGAGGCGUUGGUGGUGCAGGAGUUGGACAGCAUGGCUGGGAUACCCAGGGUGUACGGCGUCACGAAGCCAGGCUCGGAAACCCUCGUCCUAGGCCGUACCAAGGGACUCACGCUGGAUUACUGGCUGGAUGAAGGUCACACCGCCAUCUGUAUGACCGCCCUCCUGCAUGUCUGCAAGAUUAUCUCACGAAUGCAUUACUUAGGCAUCAGUUACGGGAACCUGUCGGUCACUAACAUCCUCGUGGGCGUUAAGGACAGCGGUCACCUUGAUGUUUCGUUGCUUGGCUUCCACCGAGCAAAGAGGAACGCUACAGAGGAGGACAUCAGGGGCGAUGACAAGCAGAUGUUCAAUCUUAUCAGGGAUAUCAUCGAAGAUAUUAAAGAAGAGUCUUUCCGCAACAUUCGCGAUGACCUCCGGCAUCUUUUCGAGGACAUUGUUGGUGUGCUCACGCUGGUGGAAAUAGUGCUGCUGUUGUGUGGAUUCCUGAAUAAACCACCCCAAAUGGACUCUUUCCCCCCCUUACCAUCCCAUGAUGCCCUAAAUGUAAAGGUUGAUAACAAGAGGUCGGUCGACGGCUGCACCGCAAUCACUGUCUGUCAAACGAAUUCUGCUUGACAGAAAAGCAAGUUAAAUCAAUCAAUCAAUGAAUUAUACUAAGGCUAAAGAAAUUAUAGCGUAAUAAUACAUAUCACAGCAUCCCAGAGAACCAUAAGAACAAGUAUAUUUACAAAUGAUGAAAAUUAAGAAAAAAAUAUUGAGUAAAAUCCUGGAAUAGCUCUCACCCGCUCCCUGCCAACACUGGAGCGUCAGGCAACAAAUGGCAAGGCAAUGUUUGCAGCGAUUCAGGAAGCACGAUUACGGAACCUCUCCUUGCAUUUACUUAAUACCAUGGCGGAAGUGUGAGUGGAGCAAACAAAGGAGUGGCUAGCGGCGGUGAUGGUCCAGACAGAGGGUAACGGUACACCAAACGUCUUUCCUGGGGUACACUUGACGGUACGCGACACGAGAUGUUAGACCAGCCAAGCCUUUUCUUCUUCCUCCACAUGAGGCUGGACGGGCUCGGCUGGCAGGUGGGCUGUGUCGCGCCUGGAGGGAGUUUGACGCAGACAUCGACAAUAUCAUCUUACUAUCCACAACCUCCAAGCUACUAGAAAUACCAAUCUCACUACCGGUCCUCCACGCUACCAACACACCAAGCUCCUUAUCUGAUCCAGCAGUGGCAAAUAUCAAGUAAGGCAAGCAUCAUCAUCAACUGGAGCCAAUACAUCAUCUAAAUCAGGAACAGUGGUGGAGAGAAGUCGCAUCAAUUCCAGAACAGUGGAUUUGAGUACAGAACAUAUCUACGUUACAUUCAAGGAUGACAAACUUACCUACGAAUUUGUUGCUUACCACUGCGGAAGUCACUCGAAACAGGAAACACAUCUACCACUUCAGUUUAUAAACCAAAAAAUUCGUAGAUGGGUUUAUCAUCCUUGAAUGUAACGUAGAUGUGUUCCUUACUCAAUCCUGGGCGUUGGUGUAGAGCUGGUAUAGCGCCACCAUCCCUGGGCCUUGACAUAGAAGAGAGUGGCCAGUUCCUUCCUCCACCGCCAUAUUUGUUGCUUUGAACGUUUUGCAGCGGCGCCAUAUGAUGCUGAGGCGCCGUAAAUUAAAUCAGAUCAAAAUACUCCACUGCCUUUACGUUACGUUCAAUAAUGAUUAACUCGAAUUCAAAGUUUAUGUUUUCAAAUAAAGCGGUAGAUGACUGGGAAAGCUUCUUGUUCUAUCCUAGUUACUAACACAAAGGAUCUAAUCUAUUUCUCCUUUGUGAUAUCUCGUAUACAACAUAUCAUACAAGCGCAAAUCCAGCCUUCCCAUGCUGUGUACCAUUGUUUCUGUUCCUCACCCAUUUAUGACUAUACGCUCGUGUCUGGAAUUUACCUGAGGGAUAAUUAACGCUGGUAACAUGGAAUGGGCUUGUGGCGCUGUGCGGUGACAGCGGAAUGGCCAAAUUUAAGCUUGACAUAUUUCGUAUAGCUCUGCCCUUGCCUGAAACAAAUAAGCCUCAUUAAAACUAUUCCUUUGGCAGCCUCACCCUUAGUGUCCCCGUCAGGAUAUCGCCAGCCAUUCCUCUCCUCCCCUCGUAUACAGGAACACCCCAUCUCCGUGCAAUCAGGGAAGGAAUGCGGCGGUGCAGAACUUGCCUUUCGUCACCAGCUUCCGUCUCGCCGAGGCCCGUAUUCUGAAACACUUUGUUCUCUCACCUCGACCAUUUUCAAAGGCCACAGAGAUGGUUAACCGGGUU